rnacentral:lncRNA from 1 species
CAGAUUCUACGCAUCAUGGAGUCCAUUUGGGAGGCUGAAUCUCUGGACCUGUGCCUUCUGCCUUACGGUUGCAUCUCAACUGGUGACAAAAUAGGGAUGAUAGAGAUUGUGAAGGACGCCACGACGAUUGCUCAAAUUCAGCAGAGCACGGUGGGUAACACGGGGGCAUUCAAAGAUGAAGUCCUGAAUCACUGGCUCAAGGAAAAAUGCCCUAUUGAAGAAAAGUUUCAGGCAGCAGUGGAAAGGUUCGUUUACUCCUGUGCAGGCUACUGUGUGGCCACAUUUGUUCUUGGGAUAGGUGACAGGCACAACGACAACAUCAUGAUCUCAGAGACAGGAAACCUAUUUCACAUAGACUUUGGACACAUUCUUGGCAAUUACAAGAGUUUCCUGGGCAUCAAUAAAGAGAGAGUACCUUUUGUCCUAACCCCGGACUUCUUGUUUGUGAUGGGAACUUCGGGCAAAAAGACAAGUCCACACUUCCAGAAAUUCCAGGAUGUCUGCGUUAGGGCUUACCUAGCUCUUCGCCACCACACAAACCUGCUGAUCAUCCUGUUCUCCAUGAUGCUGAUGACAGGAAUGCCGCAGCUGACAAGCAAAGAGGACAUUGAAUACAUCCGGGAUGCCCUCAUGGUGGGGAGAAGCGAGGAGGACGCCAAGAAGUAUUUCCUUGAUCAGAUUGAAGUCUGCAGGGACAAAGGAUGGACUGUGCAGUUUAACUGGUUCCUCCAUCUUGUUCUUGGCAUCAAGCAAGGAGAGAAACACUCCGCUUGAUAUUUGGUGCUAGAGCCCAAAGCAAUUUAGUGUUCUAAAGCUUUCAAACCAGCAUGUCAGUCAUCAGGGUUACAUUUAGAAUGCAAUAGGACUCUCUGAACACUGCACUUCAGAAAUACAGCUCUUUCCCCAGCUGAACUCUUCACGAGAGGAAAACAUGUUGGCAUUACUGAUGGCUUGGUUAAUUAAUAUUCAGUGUAAGGUUUCUCUGCUGCUCCCCCCCCCCCCGCCUCAGUCUCCAUGAUGCUGAACAAUAUUCGAACUUUAAAUGGCUUGGUAUGCCUGAUGAUCUUGUAUUGAAUAACUCUGAAAAUCCUUUAGUUACAAUAAUUGGCAAUAGCUGUUGUCACAUGUGUUCACCAUGUCUUUUGGUUGUGUUCUUCGAGCUCUUGGCAGAAAAGGGUACAAGCAUUGCUAAGCUCUGCUGCAUUCUUCACAGGAUGUUUCCGAGCAUCCCCUCCGUGCCCAAACAUGUCGGUGAUGUGCUAGAAGCAAAGAGUGCAAGUUAGCUUUUAGAGUACCAGAAUACCGUCAGCAGUUUGUCUCCUAGUGUGCCACUGAGAUGGAGACACGGAACACAGACUCUGAGCCUGAACCUUGACCCUCCCCAGCUGCUG